UGGGGAAUAUUGCACAAUGGGCGCAAGCCUGAUGCAGCCAUGCCGCGUGUAUGAAGAAGGCCUUCGGGUUGUCAAGUACUUUCAGUCGGGAGGAAGGUGUCAAGGUUAAUAACCUUGGCAAUUGACGUUACCGACAGAAGAAGCACCGGCUAAAUCCGUGCCAGCAGCCGCGGUAAUACGGAGGGUGCAAGCGUUAAUCGGAAUUACUGGGCGUAAAGCGCACGCAGGCGGUUUGUUAAGUCGGAUGUGAAAUCCUCGGGCUCAACCUGGGAACUGCAUCUGAUACUGGCAAGCUUGAGUCUCGUAGAGGGGGGUAGAAUUCCAGGUGUAGCGGUGAAAUGCGUAGAGAUCUGGAGGAAUACCGGUGGCGAAGGCGGCCCCCUGGACGAAGACUGACGCUCAGGUGCGAAAGCGUGGGGAGCAAACAGG
rnacentral:rRNA from 1 species